rnacentral:misc_RNA from 1 species
UGGGCUGUCAACCCCAGACCUAAAUGGAGGAGGAGGAGGUAAAGCAGACUUUGAACUGCCUGACAAAUGACUCCCUCUGAUAAAAGGAGAAGAAUCUGAGGCAUUAUCUCCAUCCAUUUGAGAUAGUUCAUCACCUGCAAAUGCAUCGCCAGCAAAGUCACGAUUUCCUCUACCUUCCUUUACUUCCCUGGAACCACCACCACUUCUCUGUGUUGAAUCCUCAACAUCAAGACUCCGGCGAACAUCAGAUCUAUUCAAGUGUCUUCGCUCAUUGCUCGCUGAAGUAGGAGAUCUAUCCACCAAAUGCAUGGGAGAACUGCGAACAUCUGAUUUAAGCCGUCGUUCAGCUGAGUGAUCUCCAAGAAAGAUGUCCUCCUUCUGAAUCAUUUUCUCUGUUGAACGAGAUGAAGAAAUUCUCUCAAUUGAUGCAGCAGAACCAGCAUAAUCUCGAG